rnacentral:rRNA from 1 species
GACGAACGCUGGCGGCGUGCUUAACACAUGCAAGUCGAGCGGUAAGGCACUUCGGGGUACACGAGCGGCGAGCGGAUGAGUAACCCGUGAGUAAUCUGCCCAUCACUUCGGGAUAACUCCGGGAAACCGGUGCUAAUACCGCAUAUGACCACCUCAGGCAUCUGAUGGUGGUGGAAAGUUCCGGCGGAGAUCGAUGAGCUCGCGGACUAUCUGCCUGUUGGUCGGGUAGUGGCCGACCAAGGCCUCGACGGAUAGCCGGCCUGAGAGGGGGACCGGCGACACGAGGACUGAGACACGGCCCAGACUCGUACAGUAGACAGCGGGGGGGAGUAUUGUACAAUGGGCGAAAGUGUGAGCCGGCAGCGCCGCGGGAGGAAUGACGGCCUUCGGGUUGUAAACCUCAUUCAGCAAGGACGAAGCGCAAGUGACGGUACCUGCAGAAGAAGCACCGGCCAACUACGUG